CCCUUAGAUGUUCUGGGCCGCACGCGCGCUACACUGAUGCAUUCAACGAGCCUAUCCUUGACCGACAGGUCCGGGUAAUCUUUGAAUCUGCAUCGUGACGGGGAUAGAUUAUUGCAAUUAUUAAUCUUCAACGAGGAAUGCCUAGUAGGCGCAAGUCAUCAGCUUGCGUCGAUUACGUCCCUGCCCUUUGUACACACCGCCCGUCGCUCCUACCGAUUGGGUGUUCCGGUGAGCUCUUCGGACUGCGCGGUCUGCAGUUUCUGCGUUCCGUGCGGAAAGUUGCGCAAACCUUAACAUUUAGAGGAAGGAGAAGUCGUAACA
rnacentral:rRNA from 1 species